ACCUGACAUCCUUCCAUAAGGUAAGUAGGAUUAAGAUUCCUGCCCCUCUUCAGGAAAGUAGCAACUUGGGAUAAAAUCUGGCAUGCCUCAGCUUUUCAGGGCAGAAGGUCAUGUGUAAUUUCCUUUGCCUUCCUUUGGCUGCCUACAAGG